rfam:Bacillus litoralis strain C44 Scaffold1, whole genome shotgun sequence.
AAAAUAGCUCUCUAGGGUUCCGUUUAAAGAGUACUCUUUAAAGUCUGGUCCGAGAGAGAGCGUACAGCUAUACAUAGUUGUAUACACGGAGGGAAAAAAGCCCGGGAGAU